rfam:Gossypium arboreum cultivar AKA8401 contig_18557_1, whole genome shotgun sequence.
UGUUGAAAAUUUCAUUCAUUUAUACUAUUAAAAAUUGACGUGACUGACAAAAUAACUAAACAAUUAUACAUAGCAUGUCACAUGUACCUCAUUCUUAACAAUAAAAAUGAAUGAAUUUUUAACA